rnacentral:rRNA from 1 species
GACGAACGCUGGCGGCGUGCUUAACACAUGCAAGUCGAACGGAAAGGCCCUGCUUUUGUGGGGUGCUCGAGUGGCGAACGGGUGAGUAACACGUGAGUAACCUGCCCUUGACUUAGGGAUAACUUCAGGAAACUGGGGCUAAUACCGGAUAGGAGCUCCUGCUGCAUGGUGGGGGUUGGAAAAUUUCGGCGGUUGGGGAUGGACUCGCGGCUUAUCAGCUUGUUGGUGGGGUAGUGGCUUACCAAGGCUUUGACGGGUAGCCGGCCUGAGAGGGUGACCGGCCACAUUGGGACUGAGAUACGGCCCAGACUCCUACGGGAGGCAGCAGUGGGGAAUAUUGCACAAUGGGCGGAAGCCUGAUGCAGCAACGCCGCGUGCGGGAUGACGGCCUUCGGGUUGUAAACCGCUUUCGCCUGUGACGAAGCGUGAGUGACGGUAAUGGGUAAAGAAGCACCGGCUAACUACGUG